GACGUCAAUUAAACCGCUUGGGAACAAACUGUGACUUGAUACAUUUAACUUACCUCAGGAAAGUCAGUUAUUUUUCAGUUGAAAUCCUGAGCUAAAAUGUACUUUUCCAUAGCUCGUUAGUUAUAAACCUUUGCUAAAAUCGUAAAUAUAUUGUUAAAUAUUGUGGUCAGCGUGUGGACAAAUUUCAGUUGACCAUUACAAACACAUUAUUUGGAGAAACUUUGGAGAAACUCAAGCUCAUAUUCUUGACGUCAACAGGAAAUUGCAUCUCUCACCGAGACUACUCUCCAUCCACCCACGUGAUUUAAUUUCCUUAAUAUGUGUUUUGUAAAAUUGGAUACGGUGAAUGACUUCAAUUUAAUCUAAAUGGUAAAAGCAUUAUGGGCGUUUUAAGAGGAUCUCCGCUCAACGAAUGGGCCAGGAUUCGAGGUGCGGGUGGAUGGAUGCUCUGAUGGAUUUUUAAUGGUGAAUUGCACUGGGGUAAUUUUUUUUUAACCAUUGCUGUUACUGAGCAGAAAACGUAUAAGAGGCUGACAUUUUUCAUCCUAACGCUCGUAUUUUAUUAGUUUAUAUUCAUAACAUCAAUUUUUCAGCCUUUCUUAUCCCUUGUCGUGGGUGUUAGUGUCAAAAAAAUGAAUGAAAUAUGUAGGACGGAGAGCGGUAAGAAAGCAGAUUGCAAUAGACUUGUAGGUGGCUUGGACAGACAGACGGACACAAUGUCUGGAAAUUCUCACAUUAUUCACUUUAAAAGCAGCCUACAUAAUGACCCCGAGUGACUAGACAUCAUCCCGUCUAGAAAUCAACAAUGCUCUGAUUAUAAGCCUGUGGGACAGAAAAUAUCCAUCCCUGUGCAGUUCACCCUCUGUGUCCACUCCGAAACAUCUAAUGACCUGCGUGGUGGGAUGAUUUCUGGGGUUGGUGAGGGGGUUACUGAAGGCAGCGUAUGGUUUAAGUGAAUACAGACGCCAACAGCGUAUGACUGAAACCCCCUGCUGAUGUCUAAUCAUCUCAUGCCUAGAGCAAGAAAGGCGUCUACUGGAGAUAAUGCUUCAUUUAGAAAGCCAAACUGUGGACCACCUGUUGUGGGGUAAAAGCCACAAAGCCGUAUGUACAGGUGAAGAUUGACAGUAAGGCAACUGUUGAUGUAGAGACUGGAGUGCGACGUUGGACUUUUUUAGGGGAGGAUGGAGACAUGAAGCCGGACAGCUUCAGCUGCUUCCAGAUGUCAUCUUUAUCUCCAGCUUCUGUUCAUGACGCGACAGUUUGCCAGCACACCUGUAGCAGAAGAGGGCAGGUGUUAUGAUCACACCAAGACAUCUGUACAAUCAGAAAGUCAUCAUCAAAAGUGAAGCGAGCGACAGACGGACCGUCAGAGAGUUUCAAGGACUUUUCAGAUGUGUGUAACCAAAGUCUACAAGAUCACACUGGAUAUGAAGCUUUAAAUCACCCAUUCCCUGGGCUGAUUUCACUUGAUCACUUUUUGUGGCCUGGAUUGAGUCCCGCAAGCCUCUGAAGGGCGAAUGAAGUUAAGAAGAAUCCAGACUAAAUCAAUCCUGGUCUUGAUCGAUGAGAUCAGUGAUUCAAAGGCCCACCUGGAUUCUACACCUCGACUCUAGAGAAAACUCUACAGAAUAUCACCCGUCCUCUGCCCCUUUGACACUUUGCCUGGAGCAACCUGGAGUUAAGUGCUUCGCUCAAGGGCACAAUGGAGAUGGUUCAUGGCUCACCUCUUGCAGGGAUCAAACAGAAACUUUGAGGAAACUCUGAUGGUUUACUCUGAGAAGAAAAGAGAGGUAAAUAUUCCACAGAAGAACAAUCUAUCAGAUAUCGCCAUUGUACCCUUAAGCGAGCAACCUGGGUCGUUUGAGACAGAAGUGCUAAAUGACUAUUUAAUGUGUUUUAAAGAAGUUCUUCUGCUUGACCAAGGUUUCAUCAUCAUCCUGGGAAGAGUUUCGGGAAUCAAAAUCUCUGCUCAGGGAAGGAAACCCAGUCCUGACCCGCACGUUUCAUGAGUCAUUCUGCCUUGAUCAGUUAUUCCUGGCGUGAUGUAGGCAGUGUAACAGGUGCACAGACACCAUGCUGACAUGUGCUGGCACCCAUCAAAGGGACGUCUUGUAAACCUGUCAGAGUUCGAGGACGCAAGAUCUAUCUUUGCGCCACCACACAAUGGAGACUAAGGCAUCAAUUAAUCCUGAAAUAACCCAAACGGCGAGGCUCAAGCGGCGCAGAAGAAAAAUUCGUAUCGGGAUUUGGAAAAAGCAUGUGGGCGAAAAAUCUUAAAAGCAAGAAAUCAGACCUUGAGUGGAAGCAAAACCAACCACAGAUCUACACGUCACGAUCAGAUCAGCUUCGGAUUAAGCAGGUGGCUCGUUCGUGAUGGUUGUGGGGUUUGAUGGGAGAUUGAAGAAGCACUAAACUUUCUUUGGGAACGUCUCUGACUGUUUGAAGUCUGAAGUGCUUUCAGGACGUCCGAAGUGGACGACAGCAGCGAGAGCGUCUGAAGGCACGGUGACAGAUGGAGAAACAUCAGGCGUUUGUGUUCAUCCAGCACAGCCGUGCGUGUCCCCCGACACAACAUACUCUCAGCUGUGGGCUCUUCCAGAACCUGCUCUCAGAGGAAGAGGAUUUAAAGGGCAACCGGGAAGGAAUCUGACUCCUCAUAAUAUGGGCUCAGCAAGACCUCUGAUCACUAAAUGCCAAGCCGGCUCCUGUCACUGUGCUGUAUGACAGCUUAAUAAUGGCUUUCCCAGGAGUUUGAAGAUGAUGCACUUUUUCUGGAAACUCAUCUAGUGAACGAGUGAACAUGUGGGCCAGACUGACAGGACACCCUGAAGAGAGAGACACAUCAGUUCAGAGUCAUGCUGUCAAUCCAGCACCAACCUGGUGCUCCAGCAUCCGCUGACCUUCGUUCAUCUCCAAGGAUGUGAGAGCUAAGGGAGCAGUUCUCCUCUCCACCUUUGCUCACAGGCGAGUUUUCUUUCUGUUUGAGUCUGUUCAUUAAGCUCUACAGAAACGGCAGGAUAUCGAGUGUCCUGGUGCGUCUUCUGAAAGAUUCCCCAGGGCAACACACCAUCAGAGAUCCCAUUAAUGGAUUUACACUUCAUUAAGCGUUUGACCAAAAUCCAUUUUUAAAAAGAGGCCAUUAUUUAAAAUCAUUUUGGUGUAUUUAAUCUCAAUCUUUGGUGGUGAAC